rnacentral:sRNA from 12 species
GAUAUGUUACUCCGAAUUGUCACCGUACGGUGGCGUGGUUGGAAAAACCAACAUAGGAUAAUAAUCGAGA